UACGAAGGGGGCUAGCGUUGCUCGGAAUCACUGGGCGUAAAGGGUGCGUAGGCGGGUCUUUAAGUCAGGGGUGAAAUCCUGGAGCUCAACUCCAGAACUGCCUUUGAUACUGAGGAUCUUGAGUUCGGGAGAGGUGAGUGGAACUGCGAGUGUAGAGGUGAAAUUCGUAGAUAUUCGGAAGAACACCAGUGGCGAAGGCGACUCACUGGCCCGUUACUGACGCUGAUGCGCGAAAGCGUGGGGAGCGAUCCGG
rnacentral:rRNA from 1 species